rnacentral:rRNA from 1 species
CAAUAUGAAGGUCAGGCUGAAGACCUUACCGGAUUAGCUGAGAGGUGGUGCAUGGCCGUCGUCAGUUCGUACUGUGAAGCAUCCUGUUAAGUCAGGCAACGAGCGAGACCCACGUCCACAGUUGCCAGCAUACCCUCCGGGGUGAUGGGUACACUGUGGAGACCGCCGCUGCUAAAGCGGAGGAAGGAAUGGGCAACGGUAGGUCAGUAUGCCCCGAAUCUCCCGGGCUACACGCGGGCUACAAUGGUUGGUACAAUGGGCAUCUACCCCGAAAGGGGAAGGAAAUCUCUUAAAGCCAAUCGUAGUUCGGAUUGAGGGCUGCAACUCGCCCUCAUGAAGCUGGAAUCCGUAGUAAUCGCGUUUCAACAGAACGCGGUGAAUACGUCCCUGCUCCUU